rnacentral:rRNA from 1 species
GUGGGGAAUCUUCCGCAAUGGACGAAAGUCUGACGGAGCAACGCCGCGUGAGUGAUGAAGGUCUUCGGAUUGUAAAGCUCUGUUAAUCGGGACGAAAGAGCCUAGUGUGAAUAAUGCUAGGAAGUGACGGUACCGGAAUAGAAAGCCACGGCUAACUACGUGCCAGCAGCCGCGGUAAUACGUAGGUGGCAAGCGUUGUCCGGAAUUAUUGGGCGUAAAGCGCGCGCAGGCGGAUCUGCCAGUCUGUCUUAAAAGUUCGGGGCUUAACCCCGUGAUGGGAUGGAAACUACAGAUAUAGAGUAUCGGAGAGGAAAGUGGAAUUCCUAGUGUAGCGGUGAAAUGCGUAGAUAUUAGGAAGAACACCAGUGGCGAAGGCGACUUUCUGGACGAAAACUGACGCUGAGGCGCGAAAGCGUGGGGAGCAAACAGGAUUAGAUACCCUGGUAGUCC